rnacentral:rRNA from 1 species
UACGGGGGGGGGCAAGCGUUGUUCGGAAUUACUGGGCGUAAAGGGCUCGUAGGCGGCCAACUAAGUCAGACGUGAAAUCCCUCGGCUUAACCGGGGAACUGCGUCUGAUACUGGAUGGCUUGAAUCCGGGAGAGGGAUGCGGAAUUCCAGGUGUAGCGGUGAAAUGCGUAGAUAUCUGGAGGAACACCGGUGGCGAAGGCGGCAUCCUGGACCGAGAUUGACACUGAUGAGCGAAAGCUAGGGGAGCAAACGGG